GCCUCGGUAGCUCAGUGGUUAGAGCGAGCGUCUCAUAAGCGCUAGGUCGUGGGUUCGACUCCCACCCGAGGCA
rnacentral:tRNA from 1 species